rnacentral:rRNA from 1 species
UAACAGCCAUAGUGCCGUGGCUCUACCUGAAUCCAUUCCGAACUCAGAAGUAAAACGCGGUAACGCCGAUGGUAGUGUGGGGUUUCCCCAUGUGAGAGUAGGGCACUGUUAAUCUACU